GCUUACGGCCAUACCACCCUGAGAACGCCCGAUCUCGUCUGAUCUCGGAAGCUAAGCAGGGUCGGGCCUGGUUAGUACUUGGAUGGGAUUCCGCCUGGGAAUACCAGCUGCUGUAAGCU
rnacentral:rRNA from 1 species